GGCGGCCGCGCCGGUGGCCAGGGCUCCUCGGGGGGGUCGGAGGGGUGGUCCCCGUCGGACGCUGUCGUUUAAAUCAGGGUCGGGAGCAUCACGCGGAGCGCCGAGGGGGCGAGGUCUGCCCCCUCCACGGGCGCGGUGCGAAAUACUAUGACAGAUGGGAUGAAAUAUGUAGAAUUUCUGUAACUCAAUAGUGGGAAAGCAGUGAGAAGGUCUCUUCAUACUAAUCGAAGUGCACAGUUGCAGAAAAAAGCAGUCCUGCCUUUUCCCAAGCUUGUUCCAGCUCCCUCCUCUCUGCCUACACUGUCCUUCAUAAAAAAUAAUUUGCUGUUGUUUUCAACAAAUUUGUUUUCAUCUGGAUCAGAGAACUGAUGCAGCUGACUGCUUGGCUGCAAAGACCUGAAGAAGUUACCAGGAGGAGAACUGUUUUUUAGCCUCAUAGUUGAAUCAAGCACAAAGCCAGGAAUUCCUAGAAACCAGGGCAACUCCGUGUGUACUCCUGUCUGCCUUAGAAGCAAGAUGUACAGCAGCAUGGAGCUACAGCUACUCCCCUGGCAACUAGGUGACCUGAUUCAGAGCAGCAACAUCAUGAGCUGCACGAUACUACCAAUGUUAAAUCAAAC
rnacentral:lncRNA from 1 species